GCCAACGACCAUACCACGUUGAAUACACCAGUUCUCAUCCGAUCACUGAAGUUAAGCAACGUCGGGCGUAGUUAGUAGUACUUGGAUGGGUGACCGCUUGGGAACACUACGUGCCGUUGGCA